UGAUAAAAACAGGUCUGGGGUCAGUCAGUCAGAGCUAUCCUGGUGGUCCUGGUGCUAAGAUCAGUCAGUCAGAGCUAGCCUGGUGGUCCUGGUGCUAAGAUCAGUCAGUCAGAGCUAGCCUGGUGGUCCUGGUGCUAAGAACAGGCCUGGGGUCAGUCAGUCAGAGCUAGCCUGGUGGUCCUGGUGCUAAGAACAGGUCUGGGGUCAGUCAGUCAGAGCUAGCCUGGUGGUCCUGGUGCUAAGAACAGGUCUGGGGUCAGUCAGUCAGAGCUAGCCUGGUCGUCCUGGUGCUAAGAACAGGCCUGGGGCCAGUCAGUCAGAGCUAGCCUGGUGGUCCUGGUGCUAAGAACAGCACUGGGGCCAGUCAAACAGAGCUAGCUUGGUGGUCCUGGUGCUAAGAACAGGACUGGGGUCAGUCAGUCAGAGCUAGCUUGGUGGUCCUGGUGCUAAGAACAGGACUGGGGCCAGUCAAACAGAGCUAGCUUGGUGGUCCUGGUGCUAAGAACAGGCCUGGGGCCAGUCAAACAGAGCUAGCUUGGUAUGCCUCUUACAACCUCCAUAGUAGUUGUCUCUAUACAGCCCAAACAGAUGUGGGACCACCAGUCUAAGUCAGAGCCAGUGGAAGCUUCAUUUCUUCAUCCCUUCAUCUCCUAGCAGCUCUGGUAUCUCUGGCACUAAGAGCCUUUUUGGCUUCUGACAGACUUACUGACAGACACAGUGGAAGGCUGGAGGGGAGGGGGGUGAUUCUCUAGGCUGGAGGACGGCCAUCUCUCUCUAAACCCGCUCACUUCAACUCAGAGGUCC
rnacentral:lncRNA from 1 species